GGACAGGUGUCUGAGCUGGUUGAAGGAGCACGCCUGGAAAGCGUGUGUACGUGAAUAGCGUACCGAGGGUUCGAAUCCCUCCCUGUCCG
rnacentral:tRNA from 2 species